UAAACUGAACUAUUUUUUCUUGGUCAGUUUGUUUGUUAUUAAUCUCUUCUCUCCCCACUACUCAUAGGUAAUGAAUACUGUGUAUCCAGACAGCAAUAAACCUUCAGCUGCAGACCACUGACAGAAAUCUAUAGAGCACCAGUUUGGGAAAUCUCAGCUUUAAACUCUAAAUGAUUCAACAUUUGUUCCCUCUGAUGACACCGCGAAUCUGGGAAUGAAGAACUUCUUAGAGCUGAUUGGAAAUGGCAUUGCGGAGCUGAAACUUAACUGGAGGAAAUAUAUCUCCUGAAGAAGAAAAUAUAAUGCACUGUAAGGAUCUGUCUUCUGGUGAAAAAUCCAAGCCUAGAGAAAACUUGUCCGCUUUCUUAGGAAGAAUGGGUUGGACAAUUUUCUUCAGUUCCAAAGGAUAUCUGAAUGCCAUGCUGAGCUUAAUCUCUGCAGCAUGCUCUGUGCUUCUCAUCUCCUCCUGAUGCACUGCAUGGUUAUUCUGAAGGGGAAGAUAAAGAAACUGGCCACCAAGAUGGUAAUCACUAGUGGAAAUGAAGAAGAUAAAGGCAGUCAAGAAAAGGAAAGCAAAGAAGAAACCAUCUUGGCAAUGCUUGGAAUUAUUGGGACAAUUCUGAACCUCAUUGUGAUCAUUUUUGUGUAUAUUUAUACAACGUUGUAAACUAGAAGGCAUGCAAAUAGACCAGAUAAAACGGCCAUUAAGAGUGACAACAAACAUUGCCGACUAUUGACAAGUUCUUUAAUCAGAAUUGACUCUGUAUUAUAUUAACACAUCAUAAAAGCACUGCCUGAAGGCAGCGAAGACUGAAGCACAAUUAAUUUAACAAGACUUUUUCACACAGUAAUAAGCUUAACUCUUCUCUCCUGCCCUCUCCCUCUCAGUUUGGUUUUCAGUUUGGGGGAGAAUGACUGCAGUUAUGUAAGUUGUAGCUUUGAAGAAAUCCACCAGGGAUAUGUUGUUUUAACACAACAAAAAGAAAAAAAAAAGGAAAAGAAAAAAAAAAAAAAGGAAAAAAAGGAAAAGAAACUGUACACUAUAUAUAAUUAGAAAUGUAUGCUGUGUACCCGCAAAGAUUGAACUCAAAGAUAGCUUCAUAGCACAGAUCACGUGUCUGUUAGGUCAAAUGGUUUUUUCUCUUGGUUUUUGCUUUUACUUACAUUGAAUCUGACAAGCUUUUUAUUUAGAAUGAACAUAUGGUGCAAUCAUGAAAAAAACAAUUCCAUUGAGCAAGGUCUGCCUAAACCUGAUAAAAUGUUGGGAGAAAUACAUUACAUGGUUAUUUUUCCUUUCUCAUUUGCUUAACGUCUGUGUCUGUUCAUACCAAUGUUUAUAAAUAUAUAUUUUUAAUAAAUGUGCUAUAUUUUUAGCA
rnacentral:lncRNA from 1 species